CUUAUGGUAAGUUUUCUUAGCUCUUUAAAGCCUUAUGGAUGAUCUACACAAAAUGAAUUUGAACAUUCCCGUUGAUCCUGUCCCUCUGACUCAAAUUAUCGAGGCUUUGAAAAAAGAAGGAACAUUUCUUGGUUCAGUCACUCAAAAUGAAAUAACGUUAAGUUCUUUAAACCAAUCUUUUUCCUCCAGUUAUGCUGAAAU